rnacentral:rRNA from 1 species
CUUGAACAAAAAUAAGAGGUCCAGCCUGCCCAGUGACUAAUGUUCAACGGCCGCGGUAUCCUAACCGUGCGAAGGUAGCGUAAUCACUUGUUCUUUAAAUGAGGACUAGUAUGAACGGCACCACGAGGGUUAUACUGUCUCCUCUCUCUAAUCAGUGAAACUAAUCUCCCCGUGAAGAAGCGGGGAUAAAACUAUAAGACGAGAAGACCCUAUGGAGCUUUAAACUUAUCCUCAAACGCCAAAUCACAUAUCAAGUUUCAAACUUCACCACAUGAACUCUCGCGCCAUGAGGACAAUUUUAGGUUGGGGUGACCAUGGAGUAUAAAAUAACCUCCAUGCUGAAUAGGCCUCCAAGCCUUGAGCCAAGGGCUACGACCCAUCGCACUAAAAUAUUAACAUCCAUUGAUCCAAUGUACUUUGAUCAACGAAC